GGAGAGAUGCCGGAGUGGUCGAACGGGGCAGUCUCGAAAACUGUUGAACUCCUUGUGGGUUCCGGGGGUUCGAAUCCCCCUCUCUCCGCCA
rnacentral:tRNA from 1 species